rnacentral:rRNA from 1 species
ACGAGUGGCGGACGGGUGAGUAACACGUGGGUAACCUGCCCUUAAGUGGGGGAUAACAUUUGGAAACAGAUGCUAAUACCGCAUAGAUCCAAGAACCGCAUGGUUCUUGGCUGAAAGAUGGCGUAAGCUAUCGCUUUUGGAUGGACCCGCGGCGUAUUAGCUAGUUGGUGAGGUAAUGGCUCACCAAGGCGAUGAUACGUAGCCGAACUGAGAGGUUGAUCGGCCACAUUGGGACUGAGACACGGCCCAAACUCCUACGGGAGGCAGCAGUAGGGAAUCUUCCACAAUGGACGCAAGUCUGAUGGAGCAACGCCGCGUGAGUGAAGAAGGCUUUCGGGUCGUAAAACUCUGUUGUUGGAGAAGAAUGGUCGGCAGAGUAACUGUUGUCGGCGUGACGGUAUCCAACCAGAAAGCCACGGCUAACUACGUGCCAGCAGCCGCGGUAAUACGUAGGUGGCAAGCGUUAUCCGGAUUUAUUGGGCGUAAAGCGAGCGCAGGCGGUUUUUUAAGUCUGAUGUGAAAGCCCUCGGCUUAACCGAGGAAGCGCAUCGGAAACUGGGAAACUUGAGUGCAGAAGAGGACAGUGGAACUCCAUGUGUAGCGGUGAAAUGCGUAGAUAUAUGGAAGAACACCAGUGGCGAAGGCGGCUGUCUGGUCUGUAACUGACGCUGAGGCUCGAAAGCAUGGGUAGCGAACAGGAUUAGAUACCCUGGUAGUCCAUGCCGUAAACGAUGAAUGCUAGGUGUUGGAGGGUUUCCGCCCUUCAGUGCCGCAGCUAACGCAUUAAGCAUUCCGCCUGGGGAGUACGACCGCCAAGGUUGAAACUCAAAGGAAUUGACGGGGGCCCGCACAAGCGGUGGAGCAUGUGGUUUAAUUCGAAGCAACGCGAAGAACCUUACCAGGUCUUGACAUCUUUUGAUCACCUGAGAGAUCAGGUUUCCCCUUCGGGGGCAAAAUGACAGGUGGUGCAUGGUUGUCGUCAGCUCGUGUCGUGAGAUGUUGGGUUAAGUCCCGCAACGAGCGCAACCCUUAUGACUAGUUGCCAGCAUUUAGUUGGGCACUCUAGUAAGACUGCCGGUGACAAACCGGAGGAAGGUGGGGAUGACGUCAAAUCAUCAUGCCCCUUAUGACCUGGGCUACACACGUGCUACAAUGGAUGGUACAACGAGUUGCGAGACCGCGAGGUCAAGCUAAUCUCUUAAAGCCAUUCUCAGUUCGGACUGUAGGCUGCAACUCGCCUACACGAAGUCGGAAUCGCUAGUAAUCGCGGAUCAGCACGCCGCGGUGAAUACGUUCCCGGGCCUUGUACACACCGCCCGUCACACCAUGAGAGUUUGUAACACCCGAAGCCGGUGGCGUAACCCUUUUAGGGAGCGAGCCGUCUAAGGUGGGACAAAUGAUUAGGG